CGACUCUCAGCAACGGAUAUCUCGGCUCUUGCAACGAUGAAGAACGCAGCGAAAUGCGAUACCUGGUGUGAAUUGCAAAAUUCCGCGAAUCAUCGAGUUUUUGAACGCAAGUUGCGCCCGAGGCUUGUCCCGAGGGCAUGCCUGCCUGAGCGUC
rnacentral:rRNA from 1 species